rnacentral:rRNA from 1 species
CCUACGGGAGGCAGCAGUGGGGAAUUUUGGACAAUGGGCGCAAGCCUGAUCCAGCCAUGCCGCGUGCGGGAAGAAGGCCUUCGGGUUGUAAACCGCUUUUGUCAGGGAAGAAAUCCUUUGGGCUAAUACCUCGGAGGGAUGACGGUACCUGAAGAAUAAGCACCGGCUAACUACGUGCCAGCAGCCGCGGUAAUACGUAGGGUGCGAGCGUUAAUCGGAAUUACUGGGCGUAAAGCGUGCGCAGGCGGUUAUGCAAGACAGAUGUGAAAUCCCCGGGCUUAACCUGGGAACUGCAUUUGUGACUGCAUAGCUCGAGUACGGCAGAGGGGGAUGGAAUUCCGCGUGUAGCAGUGAAAUGCGUAGAUAUGCGGAGGAACACCGAUGGCGAAGGCAAUCCCCUGGGCCUGUACUGACGCUCAUGCACGAAAGCGUGGGGAGCAAACAGGAUUAGAUACCCUGGUAGUCCACGCCCUAAACGAUGUCAACUGGUUGUUGGACGGCUUGCUGUUCAGUAACGAAGCUAACGCGUGAAGUUGACCGCCUGGGGGUAAGGUACGGCCGCGAGUAGUUAACGUUACGAAGGAAGUUAGACGGCGNGAGACGNGCGACGGACGACGACGAGGGAGGAGG